rnacentral:rRNA from 1 species
CCUACGGGAGGCAGCAGUGGGGAAUAUUGGGCAAUGGGCGCAAGCCUGACCCAGCAACGCCGCGUGAAGGAAGAAGGCCUUCGGGUUGUAAACUUCUUUUCUCAGGGACGAAGAAAGUGACGGUACCUGAUGAAUAAGCCACGGCUAACUACGUGCCAGCAGCCGCGGCAAUACGUAGGUGGCAAGCGUUAUCCGGAUGUAUUGGGUGUAAAGGGCGUGUAGGCGGGAGGGCAAGUCAGAUGUGAAAACUCAGGGCUCAACCCUGAGCCUGCAUUUGAAACUGUGUUUCUUGAGUGCUGGAGAGGCAAUCGGAAUUCGGUGUGUAGCGGUGAAAUGCGUAGAUAUACGGAGGAACACCAGUGGCGAAGGCGGAUUGCUGGACAGUAACUGACGCUGAGGCGCGAAAGCGUGGGGAGCAAACAGGAUUAGAUACCCGGGUAGUC